GUUGCAAAAGACCAUCACCGAUGAUUAAAUGCCUCUUUGGCGUUCCAUAUUUGGCGUUCCAUAAUAGAGGACUUGCCUGGCUGAGAAUGAACAAACGUUAACUUACAUAAGCAACAUUUUUAGUUUCCCUUUUCAAAUUUCAAUAUCAACUCAAAAAAGUUUUAUGAACUAACGUACUGCGGAGUACAUGUAUGUUGUACUGCUGUACGUAGUAUAAAAUUGCUAUUGCUAUCACUACUUUUAAGUAAAUACACCACCAUACACGAGCAACCGGUUUCUGCUGAGCCAGUCACCAGUGCAGUGACGGCAAGUUAUGAGCAAUUCAGAAAUUAGCUGUUGACGUGCAUGUACACAGGCCUACAUACAUCCCAUACAACUUUCACCAUGGACUCGACAAAGAUGAAGACACCACACAUCCUGUGUACAUCGAAAUGGAUGAAAAAUCGACACAUGUGUCUACAGAGUUUAAAGUAGUUGCAGAAGGCGAGGUAGUUUCUGUUGUUGAUGAUGUAACAACAGCAGUCGCGUGCUACAUUUCCUCGUUUUUUGUAUUUCACCUGCAGUACAUCCCAGAACUAGUGAAGACAAUUGCUUUUUAUCAAUAUGGUGUUCUUAAGAUUGACGACCAGACUGGUAUUCAUAGUUCAUAUUCUUUGGAUUCCGUGACCAUUUAUUUGCUACCUUUUUUUUUCGAUGGAUUUGACGUCAGGAACCAUUUAAAAAA